rnacentral:lncRNA from 1 species
AGGAGCUCCUCAGGACUUGAUUAUGCACCCUAUGGUGCUCUGUGCCCGGCCCUCUCAGGGCUCCUCAGGACUUUACUCGGAGGGCUAAUGAAUCCAAACUAUGUCCAAUCUGUACAAGCAUAGAAUAAUGCAAUGCGUCACAUUAGUGUAUUCUAGUGCACUCAACCUAGUACAUAUCAUGAUGCAUGGAACAUGCUAAAAGCAUUUAAGUUCUCAUCUUAAAAGAUUUAGUUUAGUUCCACUCUCCUCUAGCUGACUCUGAACUGACUCUGAAUACUCUGAAGCAGUGCUCACUGCUGCUCUCUUCGGUUCCUCUGGUCAAUUCCUACACAGGUGGACUCAAAUGAGGGACCAAACUAACUCAAGCACAACUCUAGAAUACUCCCUAAAAACCCCUUAAAACAUCCUAAAACAAUCAAGUAAAACAUGCAAAAGAAGGCUGGACAGGGCACUUUCGGCGGCAGGUUCGGCGGCCGAAAGUCCCUUCCAGAGACGAAACUCAAGCACUUUCGGCGGCACUUCGGCUGCCGAAAGUCCUCUCCAGAGACGAAAGUCCCCAACCUUCAGUGGCACCUUCGGCGGCCGAAACCCUCCUCCAGAGCCGAAAGUCCAAACUUUCGGGGGCAAGCUUGGGCAAGCUUAGGCAGCCGAAACCACCUCCUUAGCAUGUUCGGCGGCCGAACCUUCCUUCGGCGGCCGAAACUGGAUUCUCCAGUAAGGCAGAAACGUGUUCUGCUUCAUGCAAACGUACCCAAUCUUCACUCAAACAUGCAAACCACAACUCCACAACCUGCAUAUACUCAAGUAUAGGCACAAAGGGGUCCAAAACUAACGUAAAACCCCAACAAACAACAUAACUAAACACAUAAGCAUACUGACCACAUAAAUCCACCAAAACCUCAACUUAACCUCAACAUGCCUCUCUACCCAUAAACCUCCAUAAAACUUGCAUAAAACAUGAAAAGAAGUUCAGGAUCUUCACUUACCUCUUACAAACAAGAAGAUAAACGAUCCCAACGUGGAGAUAUGGAGAAACUCUCCCUCAAAGUCUCCAACUUCAAAACUUUUGGUUGAUUUGCUCAAAAGCUUCAAAACAAUAUAAAACUCAUCAAAACUUUGAAAGAGUUGAAGAAAACAUGAAAAUCACCCAAGAAAGCUCAUGGUCUCACUUCUGGCUGUGAAUGGAGAGAAAAUCUUAUCCAUUCACCGACCUAGGGCCUUUUAUAGGUGGCUGGCCAGACCACCUUCGGCGGCCUAACGUGAAACCAAAACUCAUGCAUGUUCGGCGGCCGAACCUCACUUUCGGCGGCCGAACCUUGUAUUUCUUCCUUGGCUCUUUUCUUUCAAAAACUCAUUUCCUUUUGUACUUAAAACAUUAAACCGACUCACAUCCUUUACAAAAACAUAAAUCUUACCCUUUUAGCGGAUUCCGACAUCCGAGAUUCCACCGGAAAGUAGAAUGCCGAUGCCAGACGCUAGCCGGGUAUUACAAUCUCUCCCCUUAAGACCAUUCGUCCCCGAAUGUUCCACAAACAAGGAAACAAAUAAAAAGGAGGAAACUAACCUUAAAACAGAUAUGGAUAUUGCUAGAGCAUAGACUCCCGUGUCUCCUAGGUGCACUCUUCUAGAUUGUGGUGGUUCCACAGGACUUUCACCAUUGGAAUUUCCUUGUUCCUUAGCUUUCUGAUCUGCGUGUCGAGGAUCCUCACUGGCUGCUCUACAUAGGUGAGAUCUCCAAGGAUCUCCACUUCAGGCUCACUAAGAACCUUACUUGGAUCUGACACGAACUUUCGGAGCAUAGAAAUAUGGAAAACCGGGUGAAUUCUCUCCAUAGAAGCAGGUAAAUCCAGCUUAUACGACACAUUCCCGAUCUUCUGCAAGAUCUCAAAGGGUCUAAUGUAUCGUGGGGCUAGCUUACCCUUUUUCCCAAACCGAACCACUCCUUUCAUUGGAGACACCUUCAGCAAUACCAUAUCACCCUCCUGAAACUCUAACUGCUUCCUGCGGAUAUCUGCAUAGCUUUUCUGUCUGCUCUGAGCAGUCUUGAUCCUCUCUCUGAUCAUGGGCACCACUCUGCUGGUGAUCUCAACUAACUCCGGCCCUGCAAGAGUCGCCUCUCCUACUUCUUCCCAGCAAACAGGUGAUCUGCACUUCCUCCCAUACAAAGCUUCAUAAAAGGCCAUCCCUAUGCUAGCAUGAUGACUGUUGUUGUAGGCAAACUCCACCAAAGGUAGAUGCUGCCUCCAAGAACCGCCAAAGUCUAACACACACAUUCUGAGCAUAUCCUCUAUGGUCUGGAUGGUCCUCUCUGACUGUCCAUCAGUCUGUGGAUGGAAAGCAGUGCUGAAAUCCAACCUUGUACCCAUAGCACUCUGCAGACUCCGCCAAAAUCUGGAGGUGAACUGAGGUCCUCUGUCUGACACUAUAGACACUGGGACUCCAUGCAACCUUACUAUCUCCUCCAAAUAAACCUGUGCUAACUUGUCCACAGAGUAAGUACUCCUUACAGGGAUGAAAUGAGCAGAUUUCGUCAGUCUGUCCACAAUCACCCAUAUGGAGUCUAAUCUGUUGGACGCUGCCGGUAAGCCCAUUACAAAAUCCAUAGCUAUGUUUUCCCAUUUCCACUCUGGAAUCGGUAGCGGGUUAAGCAUUCCAGCCGGCUUCUGAUGUUCCAGUUUCACCCUCUGGCAAACUUCACAGGCAGACACAAACUGUGCCACUUCUUUCUUCAUAGCUGGCCACCAAUACUCUCUUUUCAGAUCCUGAUACAUCUUGGUGGCUCCAGGGUGAACACUGUACCUUGCAUUAUGAGCUUCCCUCAUAAUGUCUCUUUUCAGACUGAUGUCAUCUGGUACACAUAGGCGAUUCCCAAAGCGGAGGAUCCCUUGGCUGUCAAAUCUGAACUCUGCACUGUUGCCUGACUGAACAGUUCUGGCAAUUUUCACUAACUCAGGGUCCUUAUGCUGUUUCUGAGCCACCUGCUCCAGAAACACAGGAGUCACUCUCAUCUGUGCUAUCAACGCACCUGUACCAGACAACUCAAGCUGUAGCCCUUCAUCGAUGAGCUUGUAAAACUCCAUCACCACUGGUCUUUGCUCUGCUGCUAUAUGGGACAAACUGCCAAGUGAUUUCCGGCUUAGGGCGUCUGCCACAACAUUCGCCUUACCCGGAUGGUACUGGAUUCUACAAUCAUAGUCACUGAGCAGUUCCACCCAUCUUCUCUGCCUCAAAUUCAGCUCUUUCUGACUCAAGAUGUACUGUAAACUCUUAUGGUCUGUGAAGAUCUCGCAUUUAACCCCAUAAAGGUAAUGCCUCCACAUCUUGAGUGCGAAGAUAACUGCUGCCAUCUCUAGGUCAUGGGUGGGGUAAUUCAACUCAUGCUUCUUGAGUUGUCUAGAAGCAUAGGCAAUCACCCUGUCAUUCUGCAUCAGAACACAACCCAAUCCCACUCUGGACGCAUCACAGAACACUGUGAAGUCCUCAUUACUGACAGGCAGAGCUAACACUGGUGCUGAUGUUAACCUUCUCUUUAACUCUUCAAAGCUCUCUUCACAUUGGUCCGACCACGCAAACCUCUGAUUUUUCUGUGUCAAUUUGGUCAUAGGAGCAGCUAUCUUUGAGAAGUUCUGAACGAACCUCCUGUAGUAACCUGCCAAACCCAAAAAGCUUUUAAUUUCAGUCACUGUGGUGGGUCUAGGCCAGUUAGCUACAGCUUCUAUCUUCUUGGGGUCUACUUCAAUGCCUUCUGCUGAUACAACAUGCCCCAAGAAUGAAAUGCUCCUCAACCAAAACUCACUCUUCGAGAACUUGGCAUACAACCCAUGCUCUCUCAGAGUCUACAGAACUGUCCUCAGAUGCUGGGCAUGCUCCUCUGCAUCUCUGGAGUACAUUAAGAUAUCAUCAAUAAAGACAAUAACAAAGUGAUCCAGAUACUCACUAAAAACUCUGUUCAUGAGAUCCAUGAAUGCUGCAGAGGCGUUAGUUAACCCGAACGGCAUUACUAAGAACUCAUAAUGCCCAUAUCUGGUCCUGAAAGCUGUCUUUGGCACAUUUGCUUCUCUGACUCUCAACUGAUGAUACCCGGACCUCAGAUCUAUUUUAGAGAAACAACCUGCUCCAGCUAGCUGGUCAAAUAGAUCGUCGAUCCUAGGUAGGGGAUACUUAUUCUUGGUAGUGACCUUGUUCAACUGCCUAUAGUCGAUACAAAGUCUGAGGGAUCCAUCCUUCUUUCUGACAAACAACACUGGCGCACCCCAAGGUGAGGUACUAGGGCGGAUGAAACCUUUCUCUACCAAGUCCUACAACUGCUCUUUCAGAUCUUUUAAUUCUGCUGGCGCCAUCCUGUAGGGAGGAAUAGAGAUAGGUCUGGUACUAGGCAGCAAUUCUAUUGUAAACUCUAUCUCCCUAUCAGGUGGUAGUCCUGGAAGCUCCUCUGGGAAGACGUCGAGAAAGUCUCGGACUACUGGUACUGAGGCUGGUUCCCUAACCUGUCUAUCUAGCUCUCUCACAUGAGCUAGAAACCCCUGACAACCCCUUCUAAGCAAACGACGAGCCUGAAGGGCUGAGAUCAAACCUCUAGGUGUCCCCCACCUGUCUCCUCUGAAGACACACUCUGACCCAUCCAGAUCUCUAAGACUGACUACCUUGUCUCUACAGUCCAAGGUAGCACUAUACGCAGAUAGCCAAUCCAUCCCUAGAAUGACAUCAAAAUCCGUCAAAUCUAGAACCACAAGGUCAGCUGGAAGGCAUCUACCCUCUAUGAACACUGGACUGAAACGACAGACUGACUCUGUCACUGAUGGGUCACAUUUGGGUCCACUGACCCAGAGAGGAUACUCUAACUCAGAAAUGAUCAGACCCAAUCUCUCCACGGCUCUCGAAGCAAUAAAAGAGUGAGAAGCACCGGGGUCCAUCAAAGCAUACACAUCAGAACACCCAAUGAUGAGAUUACCUGACACCACUGUGUUCGACGUGUUUGCCUCCUCUUGUGUCACUGUGAAGAUCCGUGCUGGGGCUAUCGGACCUUCACCUCGGGAACCUGCCGCUUAAGAAGAGGCUGACCCUCUCCCUCUGCCUGUGCCACUACUCUGAGGUAUGGCUGGAGCUGCUGCUGUGCUACACUGCCUGAGCUCAUCUGCUGGGAUGGUGCCAUAAAGGUCGCCUGAGGACAUUCCCGUGAAAAAUGUCCCUCCUGCCCACACUUAUAACAGGCUGAAGAUCCUAACCGACAAACUCCUCUGUGCUAUCUCCCACAUCUCCUGCAUACUGUACUCCCUGUGCCAGAGCUUGAGCCACUACCCAUUCCCAGACUCGAUUUGAUCUUGUUCCAGAACUUGCCUUUCUUGGCCUUAAACUUUUCUCCUUUCUUGCUGCCAGACGCUGCUGCACUGGGGGUCUUAGAACCCGAAGACUGUGCCACUUGCUGUUUUACUGUUCCUUGAAUAAUGGCACUCGCUUCCAUCUUCCUUGCGGCAUCCACUAUAGAGUGGAAACUUUCUUUCUCUGCUGGAAGAAUCAAGGAGGAAUACCUGGGAUGCAGUCUCAUGGUAUAUCUCCUUGCCUUCUUCUGGUUAGUGUCAUAAGCCUGACACACAUACUGAAGCAGAUCCAGGAACUUAUCUGUGUAUUCAUCUAUACUCAUCUCCUCGGUCUGCCUCAACUGCUCAAAUUCUAUCACUUUUAACUCCCUGGAACUUUCAGGAAAAGCCCACCCUGCAAACUCAUUGGCGAACUCUCCCCAUGACAUGCUGUCCAACCUGGGGUCCACAUAAUUCUUGAACCACUCUCGCGCUUUCUUGCAUUUCAACGUGAACCCUGCCAUCUCAAUGGCUCUGCUAUCAUUAGCUCCUAACUCAUCGGUUAUCAUCUUAACCGUUCUGAGGUACUUAAAUGGAUCGUCUCCCGUAUUGAAUUUAGGAGCAUCCAACUUCAGAUACUCGGUCAUUUUCACUUUGCUUCCCUCAGCUGAGCUAGGUUGCGGUGCUUGGACAACUGGGGCUACUGGUUUUGGUUCUGGUGGUGGAGAAGGUGCUGAACUUGGCUCUGGGUAGGCUGCAUUGGGAUGGAAAGGUGUGGGUGGAUACAUGGGAUAUGGUGGGUAAAAAGGAGGAUAAGGCAUAUAAGGCAUGUAGGUAGGAUAUGGGGUAAAACUCGAGUACUCCGACGUACCUCCCAUCGGAUACCUCGGGCCCUGUGGAUAAGGUGGAUAAGGUGGAUAAUGGGGUGGAUAACCAAACCCCGAGGCCUGAGCGCCUCCCUAAGACUCUCCCAUACCCUCUUCCGACCUGCCCAUACCCUCUUCCGACCUGCCCAUACCCAUACUUUCCUCUCUUUGCUGAUCCACAUCCAUAGCCUCCCCCACUUCCUCUGAGCUCCCUCCUCUAUCUGCUCCUCUUCUGCUCUCGUCAAAAGACCUUCUCGGGUCCCUUGACGUACCCUCCUUGCUUGAUCUCUGAGACCUUAACCUUGGCAACGCAGGAGGACGAGCAGCUGAACCCUCAUUCACUGGUGGGACUCUAGUCAAUCGUGCAGAUCGACGAGUUCCUCUCAUCUUAACUUUCUGGAAAACAAGACAGAACAACACACAUCAACAUAUAAACAUCACAUAACAAUAAUGCACAUGCAGAACUCAUGGCAUUACACCUCAGCAAAUAGACAGGACUCAACAUCCUAUCCUAGUGGAAAUGCUUCCUAUUGUGCUUGACCUACUAGAACCUCUAUGAGCCCGACACUCUCUCUCUAGGUCCGACCAUAUGAACAGGGCUCUGAUACCAAUCUGUAACGAUCCGAAAAUCGGACCGCUACCGGCGCUAGAAUCCAGGUUGACUUAAGGUCGCCGGGACCCGUAGCAAGCCUGCUAUACUCUUUGUGUACCUGUAAAAUCCCAUACAUGAUCAAACAUUUUCUAUAAAAACAUAAAACAUUUCUCUAUACCAAGGCUCAACCUGUGCAUGCACUAUCUCUGUACUACAAAACCCCUUACUAGACUUGCUCUAGACGGGUUCAUACUCUGUUAAGCCUGGUUAUUAUACUCAUAAAACAUUUCAAGAAUUAUAUCACAAAUAGACCAUGUAAAAAAAAGGAUUUACAACACAACUGGGUCAAGCACAAUACUAAUACAUCUCUUCACAAUAUUACAUGUCCACACUAGCUAUUACACAGCUCUUUACUCUUCCUGUACCCUACUGAACUUCCCCUUAACUCUGAUCCUGCAAGACUGGGUUAAAGGAGAGGGAUGAGCUAUACUAGCCCAGUGAGUAGAACAAUAAAAACAUGUUAAUAAACAUGCUCAUAUGGAAUGCAUCACAUCACAAGUAAAUCACUCAUCUCAGACGGACAGAUUCAAAACUCCCUCUGUUCUGUGCCCGGCCCACGAAGGAGCUCCUCAGGACUUGAUUAUUCACCCUAUGGUGCUCUGUGCCCGGCCCUCUCAGGGCUCCUCAGGACUUUACUCGGAGGGCUAAUGAAUCCAAACUAUGUCCGAUCCGUACAAGCAUAGAAUAAUGCAAUGCGUCACAUUAGUGUAUUCUAGUGCACUCAACCUAGUACAUAUCAUGAUGCAUGGAACAUGCUAAAAGCAUUUAAGUUCUCA